rnacentral:rRNA from 1 species
UACAGAGGUGGCAAGCGUUGUUCGGAAUUACUGGGCGUAAAGGGCGCGUAGGCGGUCUUGUAAGUCCCGUGUGAAAUCCCUCGGCUCAACUGAGGAACUGCACGGGAAACUGCUUGGCUUGAGUUCGGGAGAGGGAAGCGGAAUUCCCGGUGUAGUGGUGAAAUGCGUAGAUAUCGGGAGGAACACCAGUGGCGAAGGCGGCUUUCUGGUCUGCUCUUGACGCUGAGGCGCGAAAGCUAGGGUAGCAAACGGG